AGGUGUUAUGUUGGUUGAUACCAAGGUGUUAUGUUGGUUAAUACCAAGGGUUUAUGUUGGUUAAUACCAAGGUGUUAUGUUGGUUGAUACCAAGGUGUUAUGUGGUUAAUACCAAGGUGUUAUGUUGGUUAAUACCAAGGUGUUAUGUUGGUUGAUACCAAGGUGUUAUGUUGGUUGAUACCAAGGUGUUAUGUUGGUUAAUACCAAGGUGUUAUGUUGGUUAAUACCAAGGUGUUAUGUUGGUUAAUACCAAG